UACGUAGGGAGCAAGCGUUGUCCGGAAUCAUUGGGCGUAAAGCGCGCGUAGGCGGCCCUGUAAGUCCGUUGUGAAAGUCAAAGGCUCAACCUUUGAAAGCCGAUGGAUACUGCAGGGCUAGAGUCCGGAAGAGGCGAGUGGAAUUCCUGGUGUAGCGGUGAAAUGCGCAGAUAUCAGGAGGAACACCCGUGGCGAAGGCGGCUCUCUGGGACGGUACUGACGCUGAGACGCGAAAGCGUGGGGAGCGAACAGG
rnacentral:rRNA from 1 species